rnacentral:rRNA from 1 species
AACGAACGCUGGCGGCAGGCCUAACACAUGCAAGUCGAGCGCCCUGUCGGGGGUGCGGCGGACGGGUGGGUAACGCGUGGGAAUAUGCCCUUCUCUACGGAAUAGCCUCGGGAAACUGAGAGUAAUACCGUAUACGCCCUGUGGGGGGAAGAUUGAUCGGGGAAGGAUUAGCCCGCGUUGGAUUAGGUGGGUGGUGGGGUAAUGGCCUGCCAAGCCAACGAUCCAUAGCUGGUGUGAGAGGAUGAUCAGCCACACUGGGACUGAGGCACGGCCCAGACUCCUACGGGAGGCAGGAGUGGGGAAUCUUAGACAAGGGGGGCAACCCUGAUCUAGCCAUGCCGCGUGAGUGAUGAAGGCCUUAGGGUUGUAAAGCUCUUUCAGCUGGGAAGAUAAUGACGGUACCAGCAGAAGAAGCCCCGGCUAACUACGUG